rnacentral:rRNA from 1 species
AGUGAACGCUGGCGGCAGGCCUAAUACAUGCAAGUCGAACGGCAGCACGGCAGAGCUUGCUCUGUGGGUGGCGAGUGGCGGACGGGUGAGGAAUACAUGGGAAUCUGCCCAGUCGUGGGGGAUAACGUAGGGAAACUUACGCUAAUACCGCAUGCGCCCUUCGGGGGAAAGCCGGGGACCUUCGGGCCUGGCGCGAUUGGAUGAGCCCAUGUCGGAUUAGCUAGUUGGCGGGGUAAAGGCCCACCAAGGCGACGAUCCGUAGCUGGUCUGAGAGGAUGAUCAGCCACACUGGAACUGAGACACGGUCCAGACUCCUACGGGAGGCAGCAGUAGGGAAUAUUGGACAAUGGGCGCAAGCCUGAUCCAGCCAUGCCGCGUGAGUGAAGAAGGCCCUCGGGUUGUAAAGCUCUUUUGUCCGGAAAGAAAAGCGCCGGGUUAAUACCCUGGUGUCCUGACGGUACCGGAAGAAUAAGCACCGGCUAACUUCGUG